UACAGAUAUUUUUCUUAUUAUUACUCCCUAAGCAAUACAGUAUAACAACUAUUUACAUAGCCUUUACACUGUAUUAGGUAUUAUAAGUAAUCUAGAGGUGAUUUCAAAGAUGUGUGUAGGUUAUAUACAAGUAUCAUACUAUUUUGUAUAACAGACUAGAGCAUCUGUGGAUUUUGGUAUCUGCCAGGUCCUGUAACCUAUUCCCCAUGGAUACCGAGGGACAACUGGGGGAUUGAUUCUUUUCCCCCCAUCAACUCUCAACCAGUGCCUGAUAGGAUUUGAUAUAUACGUUACCCAGAUCCCCACCCCUCAGAUGGAAAACUCAGAAGCAUGUACUGAACAAAUGCUUAAUGAAGAAGUGAGGAAUGAUUUUACACAGAAAAAAGGCUCCAAUUUCAAGAAUGCAAAUUGCAGUUUAAAACUGUUCAGCUGCUUGUGAAUAGACACUUGACUGCACACUAAUGAAGUUUUGAACUCUUAUACGAACCAGCUUUGCAGAGAGAGAGAGAGA